GACGAACCGUGCGAACGUUGUUCGGAAUCACUGGGCUUAAAGGGCGCGUAGGCGGGUUCGCAAGUCUGUGGUGAAAGCCUCCAGCUUAACUGGAGAAGUGCCGUGGAUACUGCGAAUCUUGAGGAGGGUAGGGGCGUCUGGAACGGUCGGUGGAGCGGUGAAAUGCGUUGAUAUCGACCGGAACUCCGGUGGCGAAGGCGGCAUCCUGGACCGGCAUUGACGCUGAGGCGCGAAAGCCAGGGGAGCAAACGGG
rnacentral:rRNA from 1 species